AUCCAGCUGACGAGUUCCAAAUAGGACUAAACACACAUCCUGGAU
rnacentral:hammerhead_ribozyme from 1 species